UACAGGGGGGGCAAGCGUUGUUCGGAAUUACUGGGCGUAAAGGGCUCGUAGGUGGCCAACUAAGUCAGACGUGAAACCCCUCAGCUUAACUGGGGAACUGCGUCUGAUACUGGAUGGCUUGAGUUUGGGAGAGGGAUGCGGAAUUCCAGGUGUAGCGGUGAAAUGCGUAGAUAUCUGGAGGAACACCGGUGGCGAAGGCGGCAUCCUGGACCAACACUGACACUGAGGAGCGAAAGCCAGGGGAGCAAACGGG
rnacentral:rRNA from 1 species